UGGACUAUAAUUUGUUGGCAGUCAUGCUC
rnacentral:piRNA from 1 species